GGGGCUGUAGCUCAGUUGGGAGAGCGCUUGAAUGGCAUUCAAGAGGUCGUCGGUUCGACUCCGAUCAGCUCCA
rnacentral:tRNA from 1 species